rnacentral:rRNA from 1 species
GGGCCUGCACAAGCGGUGGAGCAUGUGGUUUAAUUCGAAGCAACGCGAAGAACCUUACCAGGUCUUGACAUCCUUUGACCAUUCUGGAGACAGAACUUUCCCUUCGGGGACAAAGUGACAGGUGGUGCAUGGUUGUCGUCAGCUCGUGUCGUGAGAUGUUGGGUUAAGUCCCGCAACGAGCGCAACCCUUGUCGUUAGUUACCAUCAUUAAGUUGGGGACUCUAGCGAGACUGCCGGUGACAAACCGGAGGAAGGUGGGGAUGACGUCAAAUCAUCAUGCCCCUUAUGACCUGGGCUACACACGUGCUACAAUGGGGAGUACAACGAGCAGCAAGCCGGUGACGGCAAGCGAAUCUCUUAAAACUCCUCUCAGUUCGGAUCGUAGUCUGCAACUCGACUACGUGAAGCCGGAAUCGCUAGUAAUCGCGGAUCAGCAUGCCGCGGUGAAUACG